rnacentral:lncRNA from 1 species
UUAAUUUGGGCACUUUCGCUUUACUUUUAAAUCAAAAAGGGGCUCCGGGGCGUGACAGAUCACCGGAACCCUAAUUUCAAUCUCCAUAAAAUUUUUAAAAAGUGAGAGAAAAAAAUUUAAAAAAUUACAAAAUAUGAACUAUUCUUUUACACCAAAAAAGCAGAGUAUGAAGAGAUCUUAUUUUACUCAUUUUUUCUUAUGAAAGUGAUUUGUUUAAAUGAUAAUGAACUUUGUGAAUACAUUAAUUGAGAGGUGGGCGGCUGGGAAGAUAAAGUAUUUGUCAAAGAAGAGGUGGGAACGCGAAGCAUUAGGGAGUAGGAAUGGGUGAGAAGGCAAGAGUGAAGAAGGAAUUGCCGCGUGACAAAUUUUAUGAAGAAUGAUGUGUGUAUAUAUAUAGAGAGAGAGAGAGAGAGAGUAGGGUUACUAUGCUCUUAUGAAUAUAAAUUCCUUCAUACUUAUAAGUUGUUUUGAUGAAUUGAGCUUCCGAAUUGACGGUUCAUACCAUUAAAUAUAAUUUAGAGUAUUUGAAGCUUUUAGAAAAUAAAUUUCGUAGUUUUUCAAAAUUAUAUUAAAAUUCAUCAAGCGGCAUAAAAUAAAUGGUCAAAAUUGAAAAACCUCCUAAAAUAGAUGAUUGAAUUCUUCAAUUUAAUAUCAGAGUUAUUGAUCUUUAUUUAGAUAAUAAAUAAAAUUUUUUUAUAAAAAAUUCAAUUAAUUCUAAUUCUUUUACACCGUUAAAUUAACAAAUAUCUCAUAACGACCGUUAAAAAUUAUCAAUUUUAAGAUCUUUUGGUUGUAAGGUAAAUGAUAUUAAAAAAUUAUAAAAUUUGAUUUUUAGAAGUUUUAAAUGCACUAAACCAUAUUUAACGGUGUGGAUUGUCGAUUCGGAAGCUCUACCACCGAAAAUAAUUUUUGAGUACGAAUGCGAUCGUACUCAUAAGAGUAUAGUAGCCAGACUCUCUAUAUAUAAAACUAGUCAACUAUACUAUUAAUAGUACCAAAUCAUAGGUGCUAUUAGAUUUUUGGCCCUUAGAUGAAGGGAUGUGUGGCUAAGAUGAUAAUGGUCCUGUAGGGUUGAAUGGGUGGUUGAUUGAAUAGUUUUAUCUAACAGAUAAAAAUGGUCAAAAGGUUAAGAUCUAACGGCGAAAAAUUUGAUAGCUAUGAGGAUUGGGAUUUUUCUUAUAAAAAUUUGACAUCUUUUUAAAUGUUAUCGUGUGUAAUUUAAUUUUAAAUUACCCGUCAAAUUUUAGGAAAAAAUGAUUUAAAAUAAGGAUUUUACGCUAUUAUUACUUUUCACUUAAAGUGAAUAGUAACUCGUAUUUUCAGGAGAGGCCAUUGAGUGCUGAUGGCUUCUGUCGUAUAUCGGA